AAAGAGUUCAUUCAACGCAGAGACUGCAGAUUAAAAAUAAGAAGAAGAAGAAGAAGAAGAAGAAAAACUGCUUCUUUUGUUUCAAUCAGGAAAGCGGUUCUCUUUUGUGCAGAUUUGUUGAGUGAUGGAGUUUAACAUUAGUAACAUAUGGCGCAAAAGGGGAGUUUUUCUGACUACACACCAUCAUCCAUCAAGUAUGCAUAUGCCAACUCAAGUAACUAUUGUGAAGCAGUGACACUGUUGCUGAAGUAUCUUGGUGGAGCUAAACACAACUGGCUCUUCUUGAUCAAGGUUCCUAGUCACUGAGCUGAAAGCAAAUGCCUCAUACCUCUCUCUAAUUGUCCCUGUCCUGUCCCUGUCCCUGUCCCUGAUGGUAAAACAAAACAAAUGCCUCGUGUUGGUCGAGGUAAUCAAAAUUACCUCUCUGAAUGUCCCUGUCCCUAUUGAUAAACAGA